GCCCGUGUCUCCGCCCCUCCGCGGGUCGACCAGCAAGCCGUGCCCUCGCGCCCGCCUCGCUUCCCCGUGCGGGGGCACUCGAGUGGUUUGUGCCAUCGCGACCGGCGCCUGAUGACCCAGCGAUUCCCCAGACAGAGACGGAGAGAUGGAGAGACGGAGAAGCAGGCUCCAUCCAGGGCUCCUGACGUGGGACUCUGAGCCCGCGUCUCCAGGACCACGCCCUGGCCUGAAGGCGGAGCUCGACCGCUGGGCCGCCUGGCCGUUGCCGCAAGAAACCUGCAGAUGCCUGGGUGUGUUAGUAAACGUGUUUCAGGCACGUCCCUCCCUCCGUGGGUGACCUCCCCUUCACGUGCAGCUGUGGUUCGGAAGGUCUUGCAACAAUACGGUCCGCCUUUCAGAAGAUUCGCGGAAAGGAGUCUGGACGAAUCCCGGUGUCUGGUCACCCUGAGAUCGUCCAACUACAUACAGUAGGAGUUGCCAGAACUAAUGAAAAAGCUGCAUGGAAACCGAACAGAAAGGAACAACGUGGAACUGAAUGAGUUCCACGAAACCCGGAACAGAGUUCAGAAACUCUCAGUGAGUCAUCUUCCCUUUUUUUGGCGAUUGUUAAAUCCUCUUCAGAAGGUCGGUGGGAAUCCGUUCUCAUUGUAACCAGACACCGUUGGAAGGAUCCGCUGUAUCACCGAGGCCUUCCCUGAGUAGAAUGGCAUCUGUUUUUCUUUCUUUCGACCUCCCCCGGUCCCCACGCC